rnacentral:rRNA from 1 species
GAUGAACGCUGGCGGCGUGCCUAAUACAUGCAAGUCGAACGCUGGAAAUCUAGCUUGCUAGCUUGAAGGAGUGGCGAACGGGUGAGUAAUACAUAAGCAACCUACCCACGAAGACUGGGAUAAUCUCUGGAAACGGGGACUAAUACCGGAUAGGUAAUCGGAAGGCAUCUUCUGAUUAUUAAAGGUUAAAAACACUGGUGGAUGGGCUUAUGGCGCAUUAGUUAGUUGGUGAGGUAACGGCCCACCAAGACGAUGAUGCGUAGCCGGCCUGAGAGGGUGAACGGCCACAUUGGGACUGAGACACGGCCCAGACUCCUACGGGAGGCAGCAGUAGGGAAGUUUCGGCAAUGGGGGAAACCCUGACCGAGCAACGCCGCGUGAGUGAUGACGGCCUUCGGGUUGUAAAGCUCUGUUGUAAGGGAAGAACGGUAGAUAGAGAAUAUCUAAAUGACGGUACCUUACCAGAAAGCCACGGCUAACUACGUG